rnacentral:rRNA from 1 species
GAUUGCAGGCUGCAACCCGCCUGCAUGAAGUCGGAAUUGCUAGUAAUCGCGGAUCAGCAUGCCGCGGUGAAUACGUUCCCGGGCCUUGUACACACCGCCCGUCACACCAUGGGAGCCGGUAAUACCCGAAGUCAGUAGUCCAACCUCGUGAGGACGCUGCCGAAGGUAGGAUUGGCGACUGGGGUGAAGUCGUAACAAGGUAAC